rnacentral:tRNA from 1 species
GUUUUAAUAGUUUAAUAAAAACAUUGGUCUUGUAAACCUAAAUUAAGAUAUUUCUUUUAAAACU